rnacentral:rRNA from 1 species
UACAGAGGUGGCAAGCGUUGUUCGGAAUUACUGGGCGUAAAGGGCGCGUAGGCGGCCAUCUAAGUCAGACGUGAAAUCCCCCGGCUUAACCUGGGAACUGCGUCUGAUACUGGACGGCUUGAGUAUGGGAGAGGGAUGUAGAAUUCCAGGUGUAGCGGUGAAAUGCGUAGAUAUCUGGAGGAACACCGGUGGCGAAGGCGGCAUCCUGGACCAACACUGACACUGAGGAGCGAAAGCCAGGGGAGCAAACGGG